UAACAUUCAACAAAACAGGGAAAAAAAACUCAGAUGAAAGUAAUCUUUACAAUCAAACGCCUUGUGGUAUAUUUGUAUAAGCAGUUCUUGUUCUGUUCCGCCUAUUAGCUGUAGUGUAACAGCUAUGGGAAGCUGUUUCUCCCAGAAAGGACACGAUAGUGUACCUUCAAAUGUACGAGAAGAGAAUGGAAAACCUAAAAAAGAACAUGAAAGCUCUACUGUUGAGAUGAUGUCGAUUGUCUUACCCAUUCCUUCUCGUCAACUUCAUCAGGAAGAUACAGGUCACCGUACAUGUGGAGGUUUUGAUAUAAAGACAAUUAGCAAAGUAUCUGAUGUAAAACUACUGGAUGAUCCUGUAGCUAAAGAAGUACCAGCAGCCCCCCCUCCUCCUGUGCAUCCAGUCUAAAAAUGAUUUUUUUAUGUGCCCGAAUCGAUAGGUCCGGGACGUAUAUUGUUUUUGCCCUGUCUAUCUGUUUGUCUGUCUACAAACUUUAACCUUCGACAUAACUUUUUAACCAUGAAAGAUAGAAACUCCAUACUUGGUAUGCAUACUCCACUAAUAAAGCUCUUUCAAAUGACACCAGGGUCAAUGACCUUGACUGUGACCUAUAUGUUAAAAAUAGCUUUUUUCUACAAACUUUAACCUUUACCAUAACUUUUGAACCAUGAAAGAUAUAAACUUU